rnacentral:rRNA from 1 species
CGAGCGGUACAGGUGUAGCAAUACAUGCUGACGAGCGGCGAACGGGUGAGUAAUGCUUUGGAAUCUUCCCAGUAGUGGGGAAUAACCAGUCGAAAGAUUGGCUAAUACCGCAUACGUCUGUAAAGGGAAAGCGGGGGCUCGUAAGACCUCGCGCUAUUGGAUGAGCCAAAGUCGGAUUAGCUAGUUGGUGGGGUAAUGGCCUACCAAGGCGACAAUCCGUAGCUGGUCUGAGAGGACGACCAGCCACACCGGAACUGAGACACGGUCCGGAACUCCUACGGGAGGCAGCAGUGGGGAAUAUUGGACAAUGGGGGAAAACCCUGAUCCAGCGACGCCGCGUGUGUGAAGAAGGCCUGCGGGUUGUAAAGCACUUUUAGUGGGGACAAAAAGCUACGGAUUAAUACUCUGUGGCCUUUGAUUUUAACCCAAAGAAAAAGCACCGGCUAACUCUGUGCCAGCAGCCGCGGUAAUACAGAGGGUGCGAGCGUUAAUCGGAAUUACUGGGCGUAAAGCGCGCGUAGACGGUUUUGUAAGUCAGAUGUGAAAUCCCUGGGCUCAACCUGGGAACUGCAUUUGAAACUGCAUGGCUAGAGUAUCGAAGAGGGAAGUGGAAUUUCCGGUGUAGCGGUGAAAUGCGUAGAUAUCGGAAGGAACACCAGUGGCGAAAGCGACUUCCUGGUCGAAUACUGACG